GUUCAAUAUCAUUUAGCUACUAAGUGUCAGGCACGAUUCCUACCGAGGUCUUCCUGUUCUCUAUCUACUAUGCCAUGUGUCUCUGUUGUUUUUUUGUAAACUAGAAAUGAAAAUAAUCAUUUCCUCCUCUGCAGCAAAAAACAAAAAUCAAAACAAAACCAAAAACCUUUCUUUCUAUCACUUCAGCUCCUGGAUGUGUCCAAACAAAGCUAUCAAAAGGGUGUCUGGUGGCCACCUUCUACUGACACUGUGACAGGGGAGGGGAGAAAAGAAAGGGCUUGCAGCUGCUGGGAGCCCAGGUCCCGCACACCUCUGGCCCCCUUGCGGGAUGAGGAAGAAUCGCUCUGCGUAUGCUGGCUGAUGUUUCGAGUUUGGAACAAUACUUCCCCCCAAAUAAAAGAGAGGAAAAAGGACAAAGGAAGAAAGAACUGUCUCAGGGAGCAUGGACAUUUCCUGAGAGAGAACAGAAGAAAGGAGGGGGAAAGAGAUUGGCUAAUUAAAGGAGGAAAAGCAGCAUGGAAGAUAACAAGAAUCAAAGAAAAAACUAGUGUAUUCAAGCUGCAAGUGACCUUUGUAAUAACCUCUUCCAGUCCAUUCAUUUUACAGAUGAGGAAACUGAGGCCCACAAAAGGGAAGUAAUUUGCCUAAAGUCUUACACUUAGCAACUGAGAAAGGACUAGAACCCCGUACUCCUAACUCCCAGAUGAGGGUUAUUCAAUUAUGCCAUCAAAAACUAUAAUUUUGCAAAAACACAUAUAAAAGCAUUAGAUUAUAGGAUUUUAGAUUUGGAAGAGACUUUACUUAUGUCAUCUAGACCUAGGCUAAAAGUGAAUCCCAGAGUAAUUCAGAAAUUUUAAUUCUUCAUUAUUAUAAUGGGAGGGAGAGGUUGGAGUUACAUAGUACCUUUCCUCCAAAGUAUGCAACUUGCCAUGAAAUAGGUAAGCAUAGCAACAAAUAAACCCAAAGCUGAUGCACGUUGCCA
rnacentral:lncRNA from 1 species